rnacentral:rRNA from 1 species
UACGGAGGGUGCAAGCGUUAUCCGGAUUUACUGGGUUUAAAGGGUGUGUAGGCGGGCUUUUAAGUCAGUGGUGAAGUCUCCGGGCUCAACCUGGAAACUGCCAUUGAUACUAUUAGUCUUGAAUUUUGUUGAGGUAGGCGGAAUAAGUCACGUAGCGGUGAAAUGCAUAGAUAUGACUUAGAACACCAAUUGCGAAGGCAGCUUGCUAAACAAAUAUUGACGCUGAGGCACGAAAGCGUGGGGAUCAAACAGG